ensembl:lncRNA
GAUUUAACAGAGUAUAUUUAUGAGAAUAACAGUACUGACAUGCAAAACAUGUUCUAUUCUUUCUGAGGAAAUAUAGAACAUUAUUUCAGUAGGUACAUCAUGAAAUAUACAAGCAGCAUUACUGAUAGCCUAGCAAACUGAGCCACCAGGGAAGCCCUCUAGCAAAAUUAUUAAAAUGGAAAAUAACUCUGGCUUUAGUCAUUUUUCUUAGAAAAUAGAUGCUUCACUUUUUUUUUUAAUGAGAUAUCUUGACAAGGGGGGAAAAGCCCAUUUUACUGCCAAAAUGAAUCGUGUCACUCAGUCACAUAACACCUUUCCUGCUGCUGCUGCUGCUGCUGCUGCUAAGUCGCUUCAGUCGUGUCCGACUCUGUGCGACCCCAUACACGGCCUCCCACCAGGCUCCCCCGUCCCUGGGAUUCUCCAGGCGAGAACACUGGAGUGGGUUGCCAUUUCCUUCUCCAAUGCAUGAAAGUGAAAAGUGAAAAUGAAGUCGCUCAGUCGUGUCCGACUCUUAGCGACGUCAUGGACUGCAGCCCACCAGGCUCCUCCAUCCAUGGGAUUGUCCAGGCAAGAGUACUGGGGUGGGGUGCCACCGCCUUCUCCGACACCUCUCCUACGUACACACAAACACAAUCUUCAGACACCUUUCUUUGAUUUCAAAAUGGAGGGGGGCGGGGCAGGCAGUUCUUCAGUUGUCUUUAGAGCUUCAAUUAAGGCAUCACGAUAUAGUGCAGUAAUUCUCGAAAAUUCAGCAGACGUUAGGACUAAUGGAAGAUUUGUUCCAAUGUAGAGAGCUGAACUUCAUCCCUAGAAUUUCUGCUGCUGUAAGUCUGAGUGGGGCUUGACUUUGAACAGUCUGCAGGCAAUACUAAUACUGCGGGUCAAACGCCCCGCCCCCGCCCCAAGCUUCACGGGCUUUGUUGAUAUCAGGUGCACCUGGCGUUGUUGAAAAAGAGCAGGCGCAAGACUCUGUUGCCCAUUUAAGAUGAUUAACACCCUGCGAACCUCACGCGAGACCUGAGUUCCUAGGUUGAAACCCCAAGCUCUUUCCCACUUGCUUGUGAGCAGACUAUCCAUCUCGGGAGUUACUGGAUGAAGGAUGUGCAGGUAGCCCUUUUAUUCAUCUUUGCCUUGAAAGUCUGGAGUAUUGAAAGAUCCUGGUCUUUGAAGCCUUCCUCCAGCACUUACCUGCUGUGUUAACUUGAAGCAAUUCCUUAACUUCUCUGAACUUCAGUUCUCAUUACGGAUGUAACAGUUUCUGCCUCACACGGUGGAUUCUUUACCAGCUGAGCCACAAGGGAAGCCCAAGAAUACUAGAGUGGGUAGCCUAUCCCUUCUCCAGAGGAUCUUCCUGACCCAGGAAUCAAACUGGGAUCUCCUACAUUGUAGCUCCCACAUCAUUUUGGAUCAGCCAGAGAAGAGAUGCUACCUGGGGUCUCCUUGCAUCCCCAGAAUCUUGGUGCCAAGUUCUAUGUAUUGGAAAAAAACAAGCAGUUAUGUGUACAAGGCACUGUGAUGUCUCAGAUGAUUUGUAAGAACUGGCUGAAGAAGCUGGUGUCCAAGGCUGUGGACACAGGAAGGAGUAAGAGCCAAGUAUUGCUGGCAGCCUCAAGAAGCUAGAAAAGGCAAGACCAUGGAUUCCCCCCAGAGUUUCCAGAAAGGAAAACAGCCCUGCUGACUCUUUGAUUUUAGCCCUGUGAGAACUGUGUCAGCUUUCCAACCUUCAUAAUUGUAAUAUAAUAAAUGUAUGCUGUUUAAUAAAUGUAAGAUAAUAAAUGUGUGCUGUUUUAAAGCCACUGGAUUUGUUGUAUUUGUUAUACCAGCUCUAGAAAACUCAUGAACUGACAGAAAACUAAUAUAAGAUGUAAAGAUCCUAAUGAAGGGCCAGGUGCACAAAGAAUUAUCAGUAAAACAAAUACAUGUUAGUCAUACAGAGUAGACAGGGAAAAGAAAGACUGAAUACUCUAAAAUUUUCAUAUGUAGCAAUUUUGUCCAGGGUUGACCCUGUGUAUGUCAUCAACAGCCUGUUCUGAAAAUCACAAUGAGAUUCACAAAGUUGGUUUUAGAACCUAAAGGGAUUCUUUCUCUUCUUUGUUUGAACCAGGGUUGUCAUGUCUAAGUAUAUCCCCAAUAGUCAUUCUGUCUGAAAGCACUUAAAAUACUGUGUUAUUCCAAAAUAUGUGUAUGUACAUUUAUAUAUUAUAUAUAUAUAUUUAUGUACACUAAUAUAAAUGUCUGGAGCUGAUGUGGCUCAGAUGGUAAAACAU